UGAUUUUUUUUAUCAACAUCAACUCGAAUGAGGAAAAUCAUUGAUUUUAAAAAUAACAAAUGAAAAGUCAAAUGCGUUUUGAUAAGAAAACCUUUUGAAAUCAAUGAUUUUUCUCUUUCGAGUUGAUGUUGAUAAGAAAAAUCAAAUUUACAAAAAAAGAAAGAAGUUGAGGGACCAAGUUUGGGGACCUAACAACAUUUUUUCCUAUAAAUAGAAGUUUCCAACACAUACACAAGGGGGGGUAAUUUUGCACAUUUGGAAAGAACACAAAAAAAACCCUAACCCUAAAAACUCAUCUCUUCCAAACCAGCCGGUUGCACCCACUUGGCAAAACAAAAAAAGCAGCCGCACCCCUUCUAGUUUUGGGAUUUUCUUCUUCCUUGGUCGCUCCUUUUCUCCAGCCACCAUCUCCUUCUCACAGUCACUCCCCCUCUCACCAGCAAAGCCUUUCCUUGCUCACCGGGCUUUCCUCCCAAAGCCAGCGCCCCCCUCCCUUCGGCCAAAGAGAACCAGAGAUCAAAAGCUUCUAGCCCUCUCUGCCAUUGCAGUCUUUCCCCCUGUUUCCCUUUCCAUUUCCCCCCACAGACCGACCUCUAUUUUUUCCCCAUUUCCUUUUGCCCUCAUCCAGCAGGUCUUACCUUCUUCAGCCUCUAUACACACCGACCUCCACAAAGACCUGACAGACCCAGAGUCGUUCCCCUUCACUCUCCCCUCUUGUUUCUUCUUCACACCAUCACCAGUCAGCUUGUCAAGACCCGAAGUAGACCCUCCAGCAUCAACCUGCACACGGCUGGACUUGUAGAUCUAGAUCCAUUUCCAAUCGAACCCCCUGAUCGGACAACCACCUCCCAUAUCCACCGCAGCUUUAGCGGCCCCGGACAACAGCAACAACCAGAUCUGCCAUCGGCAGAAGGAAAAAACAAACUGGGAGGAAAAGAGAACAGAAGGCUUUGAACAAAUCUAAAACCGAACAAAAUUGUUUGUUUGUUGCGUUUCCUUUGCUUCGCAGGUGACGUUGCUUGUCACCACCGGCGAGGGAAGGAAGAAGGGAGGAAGCUAAGGCUAGAUCCACACGCUUCUUGAGCGUUGUCUGCGGCGGCGCGUGAACCCAGGCGCCGCCAGUGGCGGUGGCGUGUGGAGAAGAAGUGCCGCCACUGUUCCUGAAGAUCCAGAAGUCUUCCCAGCAUUGCUCUGAAUUUUAGAGGGUUUAUUUUGUAAAUUUUAAGUUGUUUAAUGUACUUUUUGUUUAGUUUUGAAUUUUUAUAAUUUAUAGCCUGCAAAUGUGGAUGUAGAAAAAAAAAAGAAAAAAAACAUAGUAAAAGUGAAUGUGUGUUGUAUUUUUUUUAUGGAUGUUUUUUAUGAUAAAGCCGCAAAGACAAGAAGAAUUUAAUGUUUUGAUUUGCUCACGGUUAAGAAUUAUGAACUUACAUGUAAGAUAUAUUCCUAAUAUCUGAUAAAAAGAUAAAAUUUUUAAAAACUUCUUUAACACAUAAAAAAAAAACCCAUGAAGCAGCUUACUUUAGGUAGGGUGCACUAGGGGUGCUAAUACCUUCCCUAGCCACAACCUGUCCCUUACUCGUGAAUCUCUGAUAAAGACCAAUACAUUCAGGUUUUCUAGUAGCCUUCAAUCAAAUACUAGGUGGCAACUCCUAAAGAACAAACCAACGAACGAAAAAUCGCCAACCGACAUCACGUGAGUGACGUGCGAUAGAAUGACGACUCCACUGGGGAUUUCUCCUUUUGGGUAGUGCGUUUAUAUGUUCUUAAUUGAUACCAUUAUUAUAAAUUAAAAUUUUAAAGUUAGAAGCGUAUAUUGGUUUUUACGAGGAUUGUAACAUAAUAUUGUAAGAAUAACUAAUUAUAUAUAUGAACAAAAUCAAAGAAAAGAUUUUUUUGUUAUUUAUAAAUUAAAAUUUAAUUCAUAAAUAACUUAGUGAAAAGCAACUUUGAAAAAAUUAUAGAGUUCAAUUUCCAAGCCAACUCAAUACAUAAAAUUAAAAAGAAAAAUCAAUUUAAAAAAACAAUGAAAAAAAUUAAUCGGGUCGGUUAAUUUAUCAAACCCGCGAUCCAUGUAAUGAAAUUGAGAUAACCUUUUAGAAUGAAAAUAGAAAUAAAUUAUGAAAUCAAAUUCCUAAUAAAAAUAAUGUUGAAGGAUAAAAUUGAAAAAAAAAUCAAUUUUAAAAAAGAACCUUAGAGAAAGACUAAAAGACAACCUAAACUAACUUUUAAACUUGUGACUCGAAUUAUUAAUAUGAGAUUACCUCAUAGAAGGUAAACUAAAAAAAAUCAUGAAGCGUAAUUAACAAUCAAUCUAAUAUUGAAGGAUGUAAUUGAGAAAAAAAGAAAGAAUUUGAAGGGAAAAAAACAAGGAUUAAAUUUAACAUAACACAUUGGUAUUUUUUUAGAGAAUUUAUGCGGAAAUUAAGGAGAGAAGAAGAAAAAAAAACAAGACUCCAUGUGCCAAUAUUAUAUACACGUGUCGCACCACCGAUAAGGGCUUGUUAAGAAGCUUUCAAAGCCACCAAGGAAGGCAACAUUCUAAUACCAUAUGUUGUCACACGCAUUGUUUGAGCAUGAUGUCUUUUAUACACUAGCGCCAACCACUUUGUCACUACUCAUUGGCUUUAGUCCAUGUAAUUGUUUUCAGUUUUAUAUUUGGCUUCUCAAGCCUUAAUUGUUUUAGAUCAAUAAAAUGGAGCUCUAUUUUGCAAAACCUAGCAUCAAGCGGCCAUUAAGAUUUUUCCUCGACAUCGUAGUAUCCCCAUAUCUAGGCAAUCAAGAAACAUUGAUAAGUUCAAUCCUAAAUAAAAUUCAAUGCUAAAGGCCCAAGUUUUUUUAAAAAAAUUAAGUGAUAAAAAAAAGGUUGAUUUUUCCUAUGUUUUUGCAAUUUAGUCUUCGAUUCUUUUAAGAAAAAAGAGUUGAAUAUUUGUAUGAUGUUCAAAUUCAGUUCCCAUUACUUUAAUUAUUUCAAAUCUAAGUAUCAACCAAGCAUUUUUUUUUUUUUCAAAAUUACGAGAACCUUGCCCAGAAACAAUCAAGUAAUUUGAAAUGAUAAAAUUCAAGAGUCGAAAGAAUUGAGUGACAAAACAAAAUAUGGCAUUAUUAUAAUUCAUAGUAAAAAUUUAUAUGUGUGAACAAUGAUUCCAUAAAAUCACAAAAUGUUUUUUCUUUUCUUUUUAAAUGUAAUUUGAUCUCCAGGGGUAGUCACUCAGCUGCUUUUGAAUCACCACACCACAAUCGACUACAAAGCCGUAAGAGACUAGCUAUUACUAACUGAAGUUCCUACAUCCGUUUCAAAAAAAGAAAAAGGAUUUGCUACAUAGAUCAAAUCAAAGCAUUCAUGGUCUUUGCUGUAGCUUGUUAGAGAGGCUGCUUUCAGAGAUAGCCGCCUCUCUCGUCGUGACUGUCCCAAUCAAAGCAUUCAUGGUCUUUGCUGUAGCAGGUUUAUUGGAUUCUUAUAUUUCAACAGUGGCAGUGGGUAAUAUAACUUGAAAACAUGUUUUGCUUAGAAUUGCAGUGUCAUAAUUUUUAGAACUAUAUAAAAUCCUGAUAUUCUUCUGGAUUGAACACAAAUAUUUAAAGUCGGAUGAAACUAUAAGAUCAAACGAGGUGGCAGAUUGUUGACUUCAGGAACUUUUGAACUGAUAAAAUUCUGUGUUUUUAAUUUUAGGGAACACUUGCCAACUUUCUUUUCUUUCUUUUUUACAAAAUAGUAGGGUUAAUUUUUUUUAAAAAAAUUACUUUUGAUAUCUAUAAUUCGGUAUCAAGGUUUAAAAAAAUUAUAACUUGCAUUCCGGGUUAACAUAAACUCUGAAAUCAAAUAAAAAAAAUCAAAUUAUCCCAUAUAUAAUAUACAUUAGAAACUCAAAUAAAAGAGAAAUACGAAAUUUUCUUUCCUCCGAACAGAAUUUCUCUCUCUUCAAUUAUCAUUUUGUCUUUCUUUUCAUAAUGACAUGAUAACUCGAAAAAUAGCAAGGAAAAAGAUCGAUGCGGUAAAGCACCAGGUGCGAAGAAUGAUGAUAAAUCUGUUUCUGGGAGUGAAAAUCAGGAAUCUCCUGCCAAAAAGCCAAAAUUGUUUAGCUGUAGAAAGGACCCUGAUUACAGUGGAGAUGUUAAUGAAAAGCAAUCUCCAAGUUCAUUGCUGGCCCAGGAGGUUGAUAAUAAGAUCAAUGCAGGAGGCAUGCCAAUAGAUUUUGUGAAUUUCUCUGGAAUCCGUCAAAUUUUCACCUUUUGCUUCAAGGAAUUUUGGUACAGCAGUUAAUUGUUCAUCACCAAAACUUCCAUUUUUGGAAUGAUUUGGUUUAAUAAGGUCAAUGCAGGACAGACACCGGGACCUGGGUCGCUUGGUGGUGGGGUGCGCCUGGUUUAUUUGAAGUGAAGGUGGUGGCUAUGAAGUUCGGCUGGAUUGUGGGUUUGAUGAGGAUAUGGGUUUAUGGUUGGAGAGAGUGGCUGGUGAGGGAUUAAAGGAAAAAGAAAGGUGGCAGUUAGAUUUUAAGUGUGGUUCGAUUGAUUUUUAAAAUGUUUUUUAUUUAAAAAUAUAUUAAAAUAAUUUUUUUUAUUUUUAAAAAAUUAUUUUUGAUAUCAGCGUAUUAAAUUAUUUUAAAAACAUAAAAGAAUAUUAAUUUGAAGCAAAGAAAAAAAUAAAAUAAAAUUUAAAAUUUUUCAAAAACAUUUUUAAAACGUAAAAAUAAACAGUAUCUUAGAGGAAGAUGAGUGAAGGAAGAUGACUAGGUCUUUUUUAUUAAUGUGAAAUUUGUAAUAUUUAAUGGAAAGACUUUUUAGAUAUUAAAUAAAAAAUAAUAGUAUAUAUGUAAAUAAUUAGAUAAUUUUUGUUGAUUUUUU